CGGCCAUUGGAUCUGUUGUUUUAGGCGUUCAUUGCCGUUAGAUGCCUUGGUCAAUGCGCGCAUGGGCCGCAGAUCAUGGGCAACGAAUUGGGCUGACGCCAUGAGGGCCGCUAUUCCCGUAGCAAAAUCUGAACUCUCUGGUUGAUUCAGGCCCGCACGUGGUGUUGCGGCAUCACCAUCCAUGCUGCUUGCCUUCCAUCUCCUCAGCCACCGCCGCCGCCCCUCUCCUCCGUCCUCCACCAGAAAAUCGUCAAUUCCUCUCGCACUCCCAUGAUCAGCGGCGAAGGUGAGAGGGCGACAGAUCCGCAUGGGUGAGGAGGUGUCGCUGAUAGUCAGAGCGCCCCGGCUGGGUUCGGGUUAAACUUCUCUUCCCCGUUUUCCUCUAGCAUGGCCGAGAGCUGAUCCUCGAGAUGAUCCUCCCACUGGACGCUGGGGUGCCUCAUCGCCUGGGUCAUCUGUUCACCUCAGUUGCAACAGACUGCGAUGACCAUCGCGAUUGCCUUGCUCCUGUUUCCAGGCGAUGGAUUCGACGCCCCCUGUGUCCCUCAGCUUCACCAUCAGCCAAAAUCUGGAUGCGCCCCAUCUUUAAUCAUCGUGCACUCCUCGCCCCCUUGCAAGGAGGAGGCCAGCAUCCAACAAGAUAUGGUGCUACAAAAUCAGCAAAUCAGUUUUGUUUCCAUUGAGCUGCUGCCUGGAUUGCUACCGAUCUAACAGAGGAUGUCCAGGGAAUGUGCUGGUACCAGCGCCCAUAGGGCUUCUAUUCAGAUUCUGCAGUUGAAGAAUGUAGAUAAAAUAUCUACUCCAGACUUGAUUCCCUCUUGUGUGUAACUUAGUGACUUUUUUAUUCUUGCAAAAAAUGAUAUGUUUGAGACCUCAAUAGUAAAGCAUUUGGUCUUGCUUUGUUUGUGCUAAAAAUGUGUUCUUAUCAUUUUAGUGAGCUAGCGUCCAACAGAGGACAUGUUUCUCAAAAAAAGAUGUAUCAUGUAUGCAAAGCUAAGAGUAUAAUAUGAAGAUUUUACUUUCAUCCUCGUAGUAAUUGUUGCAUUUUCAGAUCUUUGUCUCCGUAGUGGGUAAACACUGCAUAUGUAGCUGCCUGUCAAUGUUAUCUCUUAUGCAUUCUUGAAAUUCCCUGCAAAUUCUUGCUUAAGGUUACUGUUCACCGAGUGAAAGCAGAUGUUGCUCCAUCGUAGCUUAGUAUCUUUUAGUUUUUUACUUACUACUUACAGAAGUAUCUUUCAUAUCUAAAGAAAAAGGGAAGCAUUCGUGAACAAAAUUGUUUCAGCCUAAUGUAGAAUAUUCCAUAGUUGAUCUUGUCUCUAUGU